ACUUGAGAGGUGAAGAGUGGUCUCAGGGCUGAUUUGGUGAUGGUCUAUUAAAAAUUCAAAAU
rnacentral:sRNA from 2 species